rnacentral:rRNA from 1 species
CUACGGGGUGCAGCAGUGGGGAAUAUUGCACAAUGGGGGAAACCCUGAUGCAGCAACGCCGCGUGGAGGAUGACACAUUUCGGUGCGUAAACUCCUUUUAUAUAAGAAGAUAAUGACGGUAUUAUAUGAAUAAGCACCGGCUAACUCCGUGCCAGCAGCCGCGGUAAUACGGGGGGUGCAAGCGUUACUCGGAAUCACUGGGCGUAAAGAGCAUGUAGGCUGGUUUGUAAGUUGGAAGUGAAAUCCUAUGGCUUAACCAUAGAACUGCUUCCAAAACUACCUACCUAGAAUAUGGGAGAGGUAGAUGGAAUUUCUGGGGUAGGGGUAAAAUCCGUAGAGAUCAGAAGGAAUACCGAUUGCGAAGGCGAUCUACUGGAACAUUAUUGACGCUCAGAUGCGAAAGCGUGGGGAGCAAACAGGAUUAGAUACCCUGUAGUC